rnacentral:tRNA from 1 species
ACCUGGCUGGCUCAGUCGGUAGAGCAUGUGACUCUUAAUCUCAGGGUUGUGAGUUCAAGCCUCAUGGUGGGGG